GGUGACCAGAGAGCAGUGUGAGGAUUUGGCAGCGACGUGUUGACGCUGCGCUUGCGUACCAUACGUAGGGCAAGACUGGAAGGCCGCUGGGAAAAUACCAGCAUCCCGAACGCAAAAAACGGACAGCGGGUCCACGUGCUAGGGAUUCGACCGCAUCCAAUGCAGGUGGGAAGAUCCCGCUAGACUAAAAUAGCUUAUCCUUAUCAAAACCCGGAAAUGCCAAAUGGACACGUGGGAUGAGGGUUCGGUUAAAUAACGCAGGAUGGUGGCCUACAAGGUUUCAGUGUGUUUCUGGAAAAGGAAAUAAUAUUCAGGAUGCCUAACACCGAUGAGUGAAGCCUCAAGUUAAUGAGCCCUGGGCUGGAGGCUUCCUAAAACACUAUGCAAAUGUGUAUUAAACAAGGCGUAGAGGAAACACUGACCAUUUUAAGAUGGUUGAUGCAACUUCUGAAAAUCUGAAGAACUUUGUUUCAAGCUGGUAUUAGCAUUUCACGAAAAGGAUCGGGGAGUUCUGCAUUAGGGUGAAGUAGAUUUCUCAUUAACAUGGAUGAAAAAUACCUAUUGAUAGUAUAAUUCGUUGAGCAGAGGGCAGAAGAGGGCGCCGCAACUCUGAGCAGGGUUGAGAAGCCUGUUUGGAUCCAGCUCUGCCAUUCUGGGCCGUGAGGUUACCAAUGUAGCAGUGAAGAAAGCCGGGGAUCACAGGCUCUCCUCCUUGUUAUAACAUUAGUAACAACACAAGAGGAGAGGAAACCAAGAGAGAAGACAGAAAGCCCGGAACUGGCAACCAGGACCAGAGACUUGGAGGCUGGAAGUCAAUAACCAAAGUGCCAGCACAGACCAAGCUGGGAGGACUCCAUUCUGGAUUGCGGAUGGCCACCUUCUUGCCAGGAGUCAAAAGUGAGCAGCAGUGCCCACCUCUUGGUCAUGCAGGGUGAAGGACUGAACCAGGGCUUGUGUUUGCCAGCAGCUUGCGGCACCGGGAAUGAUGGACAGCCACGUGGUCUCUGGCUGGCAGCGUGGAUGAGACACCGAUGUGGAUUCAGAGGCACCAAGGACUACGAACAUCAACAUGGCCUCCACAGCAGCACUGAUCAUGGAAGUCUUUCAAGGGGACAACUCAGAAAAUGAAUCGUUCUUCAUCUCGGAUAUCUUGUUGCUCAGAGUCAGGGUGAUCGUGGGAUCGGGCAGCGUGUGUGUGGAACAGAAGUGGGCGUGGGGGGGGCACCUAGAAGAGCUGCGGCUCCAUUCUGCGGGCUGAGCGGCAGCAGUACUUGUCCUAGCAGGCGGGAACCGGGUGAGGUGGAUCCUAUAGUUGCUUGAGCCUCCAGGGUCCGAGGAGAACCUUCUCUACUGGGCAAUGACAUGCUCCUUUGUGCCCUCCCCCUGCCGCAGCCCUGCUCCAUACCCAUCGCUGCCCAGUCUCGCUUCCCUCUGUUGCGCUGCUCUGUUCUGCAGUAUGGAAAAAAAAUAUACUUUAGGGGUGGGGCACGCCAUUGAACUUUUCAUAAUUUCCAUCUCUUUGCUGAAAUUCCCUCUGACUACACCCAUUGUCAGCUUUCCCCACCAGAUCCUUUAAUGUAUUGUUACACUUUUUAAAAUUCUUCUCUGCUAAUUUGAAUACUCAGAUCAUAUGCAAAUCCGC
rnacentral:lncRNA from 1 species